rnacentral:rRNA from 1 species
UAGGGAAUAUUGGUAAUGUGCGAAAGCGCGAACCAGCAACGCCGCGUGCACGAUGAAGGCCUUCGGGUCGUAAAGUGCUUUUAGAGAGGAUGAGGAAGGACAGUACUUUCUGAAUAAGCCUCGGCUAACUACGUGCCAGCAGCCGCGGUAAAACGUAGGGUGCAAGCGUUAUCCGGAUUCACUGGGUUUAAAGGGUGCGUAGGUGGGCAGAUAAGUCAGUGGUGAAAUCUUCCGGCUUAACCGGGAAACUGCCGUUGAUACUAUUUGUCUUGAAUAUUGCGGAGGUAAGCGGAAUAUGUCAUGUAGCGGUGAAAUGCUUAGAUAUGACAUAGAACACCAAUUGCGAAGGCAGCUUACUACACAAUCAUUGACACUGAGGCACGAAAGCGUGGGUAGCGAACA